rnacentral:lncRNA from 1 species
ACUGGAUCAUAUUGCUGCACUCUGUCAACUCCUAAAGGGAUAUGUGGUUCUGUUUCUUUCGUUUUUCCUUUUUUUAAUUUUAGUUUUAUUGAGGCAUAAUUGACAUAAAAUUGUAGGAUGUGCGUAGUGGACAGAAGGGUGAUUUGAUAUACAUAUACGUUGCACUGGGGCUUCCCUGGUGCCUCAGACGGUAAAGCGUCUGCCUGCAAUGCAGGAGACCCAGUUUUGAUCCCUGGGUUNNNNNNNNNNNNNNNNNNNNNNNNNNNNNNNNNNNNNNNNNAUUCUUGCCUGGAGAAUCCCAUGGACAAAGGACCCUGGUGGGCUACAGUCUAGAGGGUCGAAAAGAGUUGGACACAACUGAGUGACUAACACUUUCACUUUUCAUACAUUGCAUUUUCUUUAUUUUUAAUCUAUCAUAAAAUAGAGUCAGCCGAAGCAUUUGACAUUGUCAGAAGUUGACCGCUUCAGUGAAAUAAGGAUGUACAUAAGAAUAUACAUGCAUUUCUAUAUAUAUUUUGUCUUCACCUAAUCAUGAAGGAGUUUGGUGGAAGAGUUGAUGAUUAUUGAGCUUGGAUCAACUUAUUUCCUCCUUUCACCCUCUUUUCCCCCCACUGAACACACACUCUGUGUUAGACCCUUCUCUAAGUAUUGGGGAUACAGUAGUGAAUACGGUGGACAUGGUCCUUGGCUUUAUGGAUCUUACAGUUGAGGUGGGGAGAGUAUAGUGGAUGGGUUGAUUGGAAUUAUGUAGAUAAUUAAUUAUAAUGUUUGUAAGUACUGCAUAGAAAUGUAAAGCGCUUGAACAGGGAAGAGAGAGCAAUGGAUACAUUCAACGGAUAUGUGAGCUGAAUCAACAGGGCUGGUGAUUCAUUUGAUAUGGGUGGGGGUGAUAUUUGAUAUGGGAGGGUAAGUGAGGGGUCAAGGACGGGACUGGAUGAUUAGCUGGAUGGAUGGUGGGAGAAGAUGGAGGAGGAACAGGUUAGUAAGAAAAAAAUCCAACGGAAACUGGAUUUUUUUUCUGGGUGAAGAUAUCCUAUACCGAUCUCCCUUCCUCUCUCUCUCUCUUUCUCUCUCUCUGUCUCUCUCUCCAGUAUCUUCCUUCCCACCCCUCUCUACCCCUCAAAGAAAAGAGAAUUUCUGA